rnacentral:misc_RNA from 1 species
GGAGCGUUAUGAAACAAGAUUUUUGUCCUUACAAUUCAACCCCAUUCAUAGGUUGGGCCUACACUAUUUGAAUCUAAUUAUUUUGCAGCUGGAUUUCCUCAAACUUGAGAGGCCCAAUAAGAAACCUCUUUUGCGCGCGUGCAGGUGAUGCUUAAAAAUAUGAAAAAGAGAUGAGGACUUUUAUUUCUUUGUUGUAUAUUAAGCGCAGAUAUUACAUGGUGAAGUCCUUGCUUUGGGCCUCUAGGAUAUUUCAAAACUAAUACCCAUGUUUGGUGCUAUAUAAUAUAUAGUUACAAA